CACUUGCUCAUGAAGGGCCACCAGCUGCUGGAGCCGUACCUGAUGGUGAGUGUGAACGAGGUGCACGUGGGCCAGACCAGCACCAAUGGAGGACCACCAAACCCAUGUACAAUGAGGAGCUCUAGACUAACGCCACUGAUGGCGGCCGUCAUCCAUAAGAUGCCCCUGGGCUAUGACCACUUCAUGUAAACGUGUAUGCUGGGAGUGGCUGUGCACUGCCGGCAUGGCCAACACCUUGAGCACCUUCCAAGGCUAGGUGAAUCUGCAGCCAGAGAGGAAAGCAUUUGUGGUAAUAACCCUAAUAAUAAAACAGAUCAAUGGAAACAAGAUUAUUCUCACAUACCUGAGGCAGCCCACCUACUGCUCUUACUGCAGGAAGUUUAUCUGGGGAGUAUUUGGGAAACAGGGUUAUCAAUGCCAAGUGUGCACAUGUGUUACCCAUAAACACUGCCAUCAUCUAACCAUUACAGCCUGUAUUUGCCAAAACAAUAUUAACCAAGAAGAUUCAAAGAUUGCCAAACAGAGGUUCAGAAUCAACAUCUCACACAACUUCAGCAUCCACAACUACAAAUCACUACCGCUUUGCAAUCACUGUGGCGCCUUGCUUUGGGGGAUAAUG
rnacentral:lncRNA from 1 species